rnacentral:rRNA from 1 species
AGAGUUUGAUCCUGGCUCAGAAUGAACGCUGGCGGCAUGGAUUAGGCAUGCAAGUCGAACGUGAAGCCUCGCUUCGGUGAGGUGGAAAGUGGCGAAAGGGUGAGUAACACGUGAGUCACCUGCCCCCGAGUCCGGAAUAGCCCAUGGAAACGUGGAAUAAUACCGGAUGUGUCCCGCUUCGGUGGGAUAAAGCUCAGGCGCUCGGGGAUGGGCUCGCGGCCCAUCAGCUAGUUGGUAGGGUAACGGCCUACCAAGGCAUCGACGGGUAGGUGGUCUGAGAGGAUGGUCACCCACACUGGGACUGAGACACUGCCCAGACUCCUACGGGAGGCUGCAGUCGAGAAUCAUCCGCAAUGGGCGCAAGCCUGACGGUGCAAUGCCGCGUGGGGGACGAAGGCCUUCGGGUCGUAAACCCCUGUCAGAAGGGACGAAUGUUGACGGUACCUUCAGAGGAAGCCACGGCUAACUACGUGCCAGCAGCCGCGGUAAUACGUAGGUGGCGAGCGUUAUUCGGAUUUACUGGGCGUAAAGGGUCCGCAGGGGGUCUGCCAAGUCUGGUGUGAAAUCCCGGAGCUCAACUCCGGAACUGCGCUGGAUACUGGCGGACUUGAGUGCGUGAGAGGAAAGUGGAAUUCCUGGUGUAGCGGUGGAAUGCGUAGAUAUCAGGAAGAACACCGACGGCGAAGGCAGCUUUCUGGCACGCAACUGACCCUCAUGGACGAAAGCGUGGGUAGCAAACAGGAUUAGAUACCCUGGUAGUCCACGCUGUAAACGGUGCAGACUCGAUGCAGGUCGGCUCGACCCUUCCUGUGUCCAAGCUAACGCGUUAAGUCUGCCGCCUGGGGACUACGGCCGCAAGGCUAAAACUCAAAGGAAUUGACGGGGGCCCGCACAAGCGGUGGAGCAUGUGGCUUAAUUCGAGGCAACGCGAAGAACCUUACCUGGGUUUGACAUAUACCUGCCCCCACUGGAAACAGUGGUUUCUCUUCGGAGACGAGUAUACAGGUGCUGCAUGGCUGUCGUCAGCUCGUGCCGUGAGGUGUUCGGUUAAGUCCGGCAACGAGCGCAACCCGUGUCGCUAGUUACCAUCAGGUGAAGCUGGGGACUCUAGUGAGAUGCCCGUGUCAAGCGGGAGGAAGGCGCGGAUGACGUCAAGUCCGUAUGGCCCUUAUGUCCAGGGCUGCACACGUGCUACAAUGGGCGGCACAGAAGGAACCGAUACCGCGAGGUGGAGGAAAUCCCGAAAACCGUCCUCAGUUCGGAUCGGAGUCUGCAACCCGACUCCGUGAAGUCGGAAUCGCUAGUAAAGGCGUAUCAGCAACGACGCCUUGAAUACGUUCCCGGGCCUUGUACACACCGCCCGUCACAUCAUGGAAGCUGGCUGCACCCGAAGUCGCUGACCCGACCCGCAAGGGAGGGAGGCGCCGAAGGUGUGUCUAGUAACUGGGAUGUAGUCGGAACAAGGUA